rnacentral:rRNA from 1 species
GACGAACGCUGGCGGCGUGCUUAACACAUGCCAGUCGAACGCUGAAGCUUGGUGCUUGCACUGGGUGGCUGAGUGGCGAACGGGUGAGUAAUACGUGAGUAACCUGCCCUUGACUCUGGGAUAAGCCUGGGAAACUGGGUCUAAUACUGGAUACGACAUGUCACCGCAUGGUGGUGUGUGGAAAGGGUUUUACUGGUUUUGGAUGGGCUCACGGCCUAUCAGCUUGUUGGUGGGGUAAUGGCUCACCAAGGCGACGACGGGUAGCCGGCCUGAGAGGGUGACCGGCCACACUGGGACUGAGACACGGCCCAGACUCCUACGGGAGGCAGCAGUGGGGAAUAAUGCACAAUGGGCGGAAGCCUGAUGCAGCGACGCCGCGUGAGGGAUGACGGCCUUCGGGUUGUAAACCUCUUUCAGCACGGAAGAAGCGAAAGUGACGGUACGUGCAGAAGAAGCGCCGGCUAACUACGUG